AUACGGCAGGUCCGGGCGUUAUCCGGAUUUAUUGGGUUUAAAGGGAGCGCAGGCCGAUGGUUAAGCGUGACGUGAAAUGUAGCCGCUCAACGGCUGAACUGCGUCGCGAACUGGCUAUCUUGAGUGAGUUCGAUGUUGGCGGAAUUCGUGGUGGAGCGGUGAAAUGCUUAGAUAUCACGAAGAACUCCGAUUGCGAAGGCAGCCAACAAGGCCUUUACUGACGCUAAAGCUCGAAGGUGCGGGUAUCGAACAGGAUUAGAUACCCUGGUAGUCCGCACGGUAAACGAUGGAUGCCCGCUGUUUGCGAUAUACUGUGAGCGGCCAAGAGAAAUCGUUAAGCAUCCCACCUGGGGAGUACGCCGGCAACGGUGAAACUUAAAGGAAUUGACGGGG
rnacentral:rRNA from 1 species